rnacentral:misc_RNA from 1 species
GAUGAAGAACGUAGCGAAAUGCGAUAAGUAGUGUGAAUUGCAGAAUUCAGUGAAUCAUCGAAUCUUUGAACGCACAUUGCGCCCCUUGGUAUUCCAUGGGGCAUGCCUGUUCGAGCGUCAUUUGUACCUUCAAGCUCUGCUUGGUGUUGGGUGUUUGUCUCGCCUCUGCGUGUAGACUCGCCUCAAAACAAUUGGCAGCCGGCGUAUUGGUUUCGGAGCGCAGUACAUCUCGCGCUUUGCACUCAUAACGACGACGUCCAAAAGUACAUUUUUACACUCUUGACCUCGGAUCAGGUAGGGAUACCCGCUGAACUUAAGCAUAUCAAUAAGCGGAGGA